rnacentral:rRNA from 1 species
GACAGAGGGUGCAACCGUUGCUCGGAAUCACUGGGCGUAAAGGGCGUGUAGGCGGGAAGGCAAGUCGGGCGUGAAAUCCCUGGGCUCAACCCAGGAACUGCAUUCGAAACUUCUUUUCUUGAGUGCCGGAGAGGAAAGCGGAAUUCCUGGUGUAGAGGUGAAAUUCGUAGAUAUCAGGAGGAACACCAGUGGCGAAGGCGGCUUUCUGGACGGUAACUGACGCUGAGACGCGAAAGCGUGGGGAGCAAACAGG